rnacentral:rRNA from 1 species
AGCAGCCGCGGUAAUUCCAGCUCCAAUAGCGUAUAUUAAAGUUGUUGCAGUUAAAAAGCUCGUAGUUGAAUUUCGGGAUCAAUAUAUUGGUCAUGCUUAGGUAUGUACUGGUAUUAUUGAUUUCUCCCUUCUGAAGAACCAUGAUGUCAUUAAUUUGAUGUCGUGGGGAAUCAGGACUGUUACUUUGAAAAAAUUAGAGUGUUUAAAGCAGGCUUUCGCUUGAAUACAUUAGCAUGGAAUAAUGAAAUAGGACGUUUGAUUCUAUUUUGUUGGUUUCUAGGAUCGACGUAAUGAUUAAUAGGGAUAGUUGGGGGCAUUAGUAUUCAAUUGUCAGAGGUGAAAUUCUUGGAUUUAUUGAAGACUAACUACUGCGAAAGCAUUUGCCAAGGAUGUUUUCAUUAAUCAAGAACGAAAGUUAGGGGAUCGAAGACGAUCAGAUACCGUCGUAGUCUUAACCAUAAACUAUAGCCGACUAGGGAUCGGAUGAUGUAAUUUUUAAUGA